rnacentral:rRNA from 1 species
GAUGAACGCUGGCGGCGUGCCUAAUACAUGCAAGUCGAGCGAACGGACGAGAAGCUUGCUUCUCUGAUGUUAGCGGCGGACGGGUGAGUAACACGUGGAUAACCUACCUAUAAGACUGGGAUAACUUCGGGAAACCGGAGUUAAUACCGGAUAAUAUUUUGAACCGCAUGGUUCAAAAGUGAAAGACGGUCUUGCUGUCACUUAUAGAUGGAUCCGCGCUGCAUUAGCUAGUUGGUAAGGUAACGGCUUACCAAGGCAACGAUGCAUAGCCGACCUGAGAGGGUGAUCGGCCACACUGGAACUGAGACACGGUCCAGACUCCUACGGGAGGCAGCAGUAGGGAAUCUUCCGCAAAGGGCGAAAGCCUGACGGAGCAACGCCGCGUGAGUGAUGAAGGUCUUCGGAUCGUAAAACUCUGUUAUUAGGGAAGAACAUAUGUGUAAGUAACUGUGCACAUCUUGACGGUACCUAAUCAGAAAGCCACGGCUAACUACGUG